rnacentral:lncRNA from 1 species
UUUAAUAAAAAAUGAUUAAUAUAGUACUAUGUGUAUUUUAGGUAAAUUAAUUAAGUGAUUUUACAAAAUGACUGGUUCACAAUAAACAAAGGAUGUUGUAAUCCAACAAAUCUUCUAAAUUCUGUAUAUCCAACUUGUUACCAAAACUAAUUCUCCAUCUUUAUCCCCUAAAACCCAAUUAACUAAUAUUGACCUUUUCUUAAUCUUUUUCUCUCCUUAAAUCCCAUCUUUUUUAUUCAUUCCUAAUUAUUGAAAUUAACACUAAUCCCAUAAUAAGACAAAACCUUCCCUUAGAAUUCUCCAUCAAAUUAAGAUCCUCUCAGUUUGGUAACACAACCCAAUCAAGAACCACAAUAUAAAACCAAAACGGUGUCGUAUAGAGAAAGCAUAACAAAGAAAU